rnacentral:rRNA from 1 species
ACGAAGGGUGCAAGCGUUACUCGGAAUUACUGGGCGUAAAGGGUGCGUAGGCGGGUAUAUAAGUCAGUGGUGAAAGCUCCGGGCUUAACUUGGAAACUGCCAUUGAUGCUGUAUAUCUUGAAUGUCGUUGAGGUUAGCGGAAUGUUGCAUGUAGCGGUGAAAUGCUUAGAUAUGUUACAGAACACCAAUUGUGAAGACAGCUAACUAAGCGAUGAUUGACGCUGAGGCACGAAAGCGUGGGGAGCAAACAGGA